rnacentral:lncRNA from 1 species
AUUUAUCCAAAUUAUAUUUCAUUGUGUAGAUUGAAGAAGGUUAGUGUGACCAAAGCUUUAGAAUUCUUGUGGCUGAAUUUGCUCAUUUUCUUAAUAGUGUCGUCAAACUUGUUAGGUAGAAAGUAGCAAAAUAAGAGGAUUUCUUGACUACAAAGAAAAAAAAUCCGAAAAAUAGCAUCAAAGAUGAGGUUACAAAACAAAGAACUGUAGCACUUACUUAUACUAUUAUUCUAUUCCAACCAAUCAACAAUUUCCACUUAUUAAUAGUUCAUUCAUAUCCAUUUUCAAUACAAUGAAUUUUAUUUAUUGUU